GAAAUUUUCUCGCAAGAAUAUCUCUUUCCUUGUGCAUCCAGAACGACAGUACGACACAAUAUAUUUGAAAAAGUGAUUCUUUUCUCCACACGGGGAAGUUUUCCUCGACUUUUUUUCCGACAGGGAACUCAAUGCAGUAAAUUUUAGGAGCAAAACAGUUUGCUCCUAAAAUGUAUUGCAUUGAGUUGGCCAUGUUUUUAAUUUUUUUUCGUGAUUGCGUUCAAAUUUAUACUGGCCGUGCAACGGUUUGCAAGAGGGGGAAUGAAACUGACGUCCAAUCCAUAGAGAUUAUAAAUAACACUAGAGGAGGCACUGUAAUCUUAAUUCAGUAAAAAAAAGGGAACGCGACUAUUGGGGGGCAAAUUCAAGUCCCGGAUGUGCAUUCGUGUUCUCAUUGGUGACGAGUUUCAAAUCAGCCAAUGAGAGCACGAUUUUAUAUCCGGGACUUGAAUUUGCCCCCCAUUAGCUGCGUUCCCAAUUUUUAAACUCG